UUAUAAAAUAAAAAAAUAAUUGUUGAAUUUGGUGGAUUCCAAGGCUAAUUGACAAUAUGAGCAAAUGACUUGUAAUCCUUCCACCGUUGAGAGAGAGAGGUAAUCGCUGCUCUGUGAAACCAGCCUCACGCAUUACCCUCAAGUUUAGGGAGAAUAUGAUUCAAGCGUUAGCUUGAAACAUAACAUCCACUGCCCAACUUGGAAUCGGGCAAAUUAAAGCUAGCUCAUAAUGUAAACCUUGAAUUCAAUACCAAAUUAUUCAAAUACCUUAAUACUCCACUUGGUAAGAAGCCCACGUUACCGAGCUCAGCGAUUGAUUUGUAGAUUUCUUGUAUAUAAACAACAAAGCUUUUUUCAAUUUCUUUUGAUGUGGGAUUAUUUCUUAUAGUGGUAUUUUGUUAUAUAAGUUUAAAAAAAAAAUCUUCAGAUGGGGUGAUAUGGUCAGAGAAACCAAUUUUCCUAUUUUAGGGUCAUUUUGUAUAUUUGCAAUUUAAAUUGUUGAAUUGAAAAAUAAACAAAGAAUAUAGAUUCUAUUUAUAAAAUAAAAAAUAUUUGUUGAAUUUGGUGGAUUCCAAGGCUAAUUGACUAUAUGAGCAAAUGACUUGUAAUCCUUCCACCGUUGAGAGUGAGAGGUAAUCGCUGCUCUGUGAAACCAGCCUCACGCAUUACCCUCAAGUUUAGGGAGAAUAUGAUUCAAGCGUUAGCCUGAAACAUAACAUCCACUGCUCAACUUGGAAACGGGCAAAUCAAAGCUAGCUCAUAAUGUCAACCUUGAAUUCAAUCCCAAAUUAUUCAAAUACCUU
rnacentral:lncRNA from 1 species